CAAUAUAUAAAGUCAAUGUAUCACAUUUUUGUGUCAAGAUUGUGGUCAAACUGAGCGGGUUUUAAGAAAAAAAAAUUACACAGCAUGAAAGCACGAAAUCAGGGUGGAAAAAAAACACCGCCCGCCGCUACUACCGAUUGAAUGAUUUAGUGAGGACUUCGGACUGGUCAAUCCAGACCAUUGGGAAACUAGUGGUCGGAUUGUGCUGGAAAGAUGUUCAAACUUGAUCAUUUAGAGGAAGUAAAAGUCGUAACAAGGUUUCCGUAGGUGAACCUGCGGAAGGAUCAUUA
rnacentral:ncRNA from 1 species